rnacentral:rRNA from 1 species
UACAGAGGUCCCGAGCGUUGUUCGGAUUUAUUGGGCGUAAAGGGUGCGUAGGCGGCGGAGUAAGUUGGGUGUGAAAUCCCGGGGCUCAACCUCGGAAUUGCAUUCAAUACUGCUUCGCUCGAGUACUGUAGAGGCAGGUGGAAUUCCGGGUGUAGCGGUGGAAUGCGUAGAGAUCCGGAAGAACACCGGUGGCGAAGGCGGCCUGCUGGGCAGUAGCUGACGCUGAUGCGCGACAGCGUGGGGAGCAAACAGG